rnacentral:rRNA from 1 species
GAUGAACGCUGGCGGCGUGCCUAACACAUGCAAGUCGAACGAAGCUCCCGGAACCUGGCCUUCGGGUUAGGGGAAGGGAAGACUGAGUGGCGGACGGGUGAGUAACGCGUGAGCAACCUGCCUUUCAGAGGGGGAUAACGUCUGGAAACGGACGCUAAUACCGCAUAACAUCCAUGGAUCACAUGGUUAAUGGAUCAAAGAUUUAUCGCUGAAAGAUGGGCUCGCGUCCGAUUAGCUAGAUGGUGGGGUAAAGGCUCACCAUGGCGACGAUCGGUAGCCGGACUGAGAGGUUGAUCGGCCACAUUGGGACUGAGACACGGCCCAGACUCCUACGGGAGGCAGCAGUGGGGGAUAUUGCACAAUGGGGGAAACCCUGAUGCAGCAACGCCGCGUGAGGGAAGACGGUUUUCGGAUUGUAAACCUCUGUCUUCGGUGACGAUAAUGACGGUAGCCGAGGAGGAAGCUCCGGCUAACUACGUGCCAGCCGCCGCGGUAACAC